CCUACGGGAGGCAGCAGUGGGGAAUAUUGCUCAAUGGGGGAAACCCUGAUGCCGCGACGCCGCGUGAGUGAAGAAUUAAUUCGUUACUUCAAGCUCUAUCAGCAGGGAAGAAAAUGCCGGUACCUGAGUAAGAAGCCCCGGCUAACUACGUGCCAGCGGCCGCGGUAAUACGUAGGGGGCAAGCGUUAUCCGGAUUUACUGGGUGUAAAGGGGGCGUAGACGGGGCGCCAAGUCUGGAGUGAAAUGCCGGAGCUUAACUGCGGAACUGCUUUUGAAACUGGCGAACUAGAGUGCGGGAGGGGUAAGCGGAAUUCCUAGUGUAGCGGUGAAAUGCGGAGAUAUUAGGAGGAACACCGGUGGCGAAGGCGGCUUACUGGAUCGUAACUGACGUUGAGGCUCGAAAGCGUGGGGAGCAAACAGGAUUAGAGACCCUGGUAGUC
rnacentral:rRNA from 1 species